rnacentral:rRNA from 1 species
UUGUGAGGUUAAGCGACUAAGCGUACACGGUGGAUGCCCUGGCAGUCAGAGGCGAUGAAGGACGUGCUAAUCUGCGAUAAGCGUCGGUGAGGUGAUAUGAACCGUUAUAACCGGCGAUUUCCGAAUGGGGAAACCCAGUGUGUUUCGACACACUAUCAUUAACUGAAUCCAUAGGUUAAUGAGGCGAACCGGGGGAACUGAAACAUCUAAGUACCCCGAGGAAAAGAAAUCAACCGAGAUUCCCCCAGUAGCGGCGAGCGAACGGGGAGGAGCCCAGAGCCUGAAUCAGUGUGUGUGUUAGUGGAAGCGUCUGGAAAGGCGCGCGAUACAGGGUGACAGCCCCGUACACAAAAAUGCACAUAUUGUGAGCUCGAUGAGUAGGGCGGGACACGUGGUAUCCUGUCUGAAUAUGGGGGGACCAUCCUCCAAGGCUAAAUACUCCUGACUGACCGAUAGUGAACCAGUACCGUGAGGGAAAGGCGAAAAGAACCCCGGCGAGGGGAGUGAAAAAGAACCUGAAACCGUGUACGUACAAGCAGUGGGAGCCUCUUAAUGGGGUGACUGCGUACCUUUUGUAUAAUGGGUCAGCGACUUAUAUUCUGUAGCAAGGUUAACCGAAUAGGGGAGCCGAAGGGAAACCGAGUCUUAACUGGGCGUUAAGUUGCAGGGUAUAGACCCGAAACCCGGUGAUCUAGCCAUGGGCAGGUUGAAGGUUGGGUAACACUAACUGGAGGACCGAACCGACUAAUGUUGAAAAAUUAGCGGAUGACUUGUGGCUGGGGGUGAAAGGCCAAUCAAACCGGGAGAUAGCUGGUUCUCCCCGAAAGCUAUUUAGGUAGCGCCUCGUGAAUUCAUCUCCGGGGGUAGAGCACUGUUUCGGCAAGGGGGUCAUCCCGACUUACCAACCCGAUGCAAACUGCGAAUACCGGAGAAUGUUAUCACGGGAGACACACGGCGGGUGCUAACGUCCGUCGUGAAGAGGGAAACAACCCAGACCGCCAG